rnacentral:rRNA from 1 species
AGAGUUUGAUCCUGGCUCAGGAUGAACGCUAGCUACAGGCUUAACACAUGCAAGUCGAGGGGCAGCAUGAGCUCAGCUUUGCUGGGUUUGAUGGCGACCGGCGCACGGGUGAGUAACGCGUAUCCAACCUGCCCUUUACUCCGGGAUAGUCUCCUGAAAGGGAGUUUAAUACCGGAUGUGUUUGUUUUUCCGCAUGGGAGCGACAAAUAAAGAUUAAUUGGUAAAGGAUGGGGAUGCGUCCCAUUAGCUUGUUGGCGGGGUAACGGCCCACCAAGGCAACGAUGGGUAGGGGUUCUGAGAGGAAGGUCCCCCACAUUGGAACUGAGACACGGUCCAAACUCCUACGGGAGGCAGCAGUGAGGAAUAUUGGUCAAUGGGCGAGAGCCUGAACCAGCCAAGUAGCGUGAAGGACGACGGCCCUACGGGUUGUAAACUUCUUUUAUAAGGGAAUAAAGUUCGCCACGUGUGGUGUUUUGUAUGUACCUUAUGAAUAAGCAUCGGCUAAUUCCGUGCCAGCAGCCGCGGUAAUACGGAAGAUGCGAGCGUUAUCCGGAUUUAUUGGGUUUAAAGGGAGCGUAGGCGGGCUUUUAAGUCAGCGGUCAAAUGUCGUGGCUCAACCAUGUCAAGCCGUUGAAACUGUAAGCCUUGAGUCUGCACAGGGCACAUGGAAUUCGUGGUGUAGCGGUGAAAUGCUUAGAUAUCACGAAGAACUCCGAUCGCGAAGGCAUUGUGCCGGGGCAGCACUGACGCUGAGGCUCGAAAGUGCGGGUAUCAAACAGGAUUAGAUACCCUGGUAGUCCGCACAGUAAACGAUGAAUACUCGCGGUUUGCGAUACAGUGUCAGCCGCCAAGCGAAAGCGUUAAGUAUUCCACCUGGGGAGUACGCCGGCAACGGUGAAACU